GACAUCGUGGUGGAGUUGGUUAACACAUCGGCGUAUACUGUCGGAGUCGCUGGUUCUAAUCCAGUAGGUACCC
rnacentral:tRNA from 1 species